rnacentral:lncRNA from 1 species
ACCUGUAACUUGAAGUCUCUGAAUUUUUUCUUACGCAGAUUCUUGUCUUCACCGUGUCUCAAAGAUCCAGAAGCUGUUAAAGCAGCUGACACUAAAAAAGGCUUGCAGACUUUUACAUAUUUGCCACAGUCAUGCUGUGGUUCCAUCAGCAUGAGGCGGGGCUACUAAUGAACUCGGCCUCAGAAUCUAUCCCCUGCAUCUGCCUAGUAGUAGGGAGUUGCGAAAGCUCCUGAAGAGAAUGGAGAGGGAGAGCAUACCAUCCAGGAGAGAAAUUCAGAGCUCUUAUUGCGAUUAUGCUUUCCUACAACAAUGUCACCUGGGAUGCUUCUGGAAAUUGAAAAUGCUUUAACGGCCAGGCGCUCUUCAAUUAAAACUCUUAUUAUUGUUAAUUAGCUCCCUG